GCGCGCCCCGCCAGGUGGGGGUUCCGGGGCGCUCGCGAGCCCGCCAGGAGGGGCCUGGUGCGGUGGGCUGCCCCUACGCCUCGCGCCGAGCGCUCCGAAGAGCUGUACUCCAGGAGCGCGAGCUUCUGCAGGCCUCACAACCGGACGACCUCCAGGAGCCUCCUCAGAUCUGCGGCUCGGUUGGCAUAUUCCGUCUCUUCCUACCUUCAGGUCCCUCAUCACCAGCUCCGGGACUUCCAGAGCCGUUAGGCCUUUCGAAUAACUCUUUCUUUGGAAAAGGAACACACUCAGGAAGAAAUUCAAAUUGGGACUGAAGUAGUGACUGAGCAACCCCUUCCCCAAGCCCAGCGAUAAAAGUCUGGCCUCUUGUUCAGUGGUGACUUGAAGAGUUAAGAAGGGGAACUGGCACCCACAUAAGGGGUGUUACAGCAUGGAGAAAAGACAAUAGCCACAGGAGGCAAGAUGGUGAACAAGAGCCAAGAACCCAGAGCAAGAUGUAAUCAGAAGAUUAGAUCUUGGGACUCAUCAUUCCCACCCUUGCAACAAGAAAAUGCUGAAAAACUGAAAAUCGGAGAAUUGAGGUCACAGUGCAAACCACAUCCCUGAAAAAUUGGAGAUACAGGCAGAUACAGAAAAUCACAGCCUACUAGGAGCUGAAACUGCCACUGGAUCCAACAUCUGAUAGGAAUAUUGUCCUGUGGGGAUUAAUUUUGAAAUAAAGAAAUGCUCAAGUUUA